rnacentral:rRNA from 1 species
CCUACGGGAGGCAGCAGUGGGGAAUUUUGGACAAUGGGCGCAAGCCUGAUCCAGCCAUGCCGCGUGUGGGAAGAAGGCCUUCGGGUUGUAAACCACUUUUGUCAGGGAGGAAACGGCUCUUACUAAUAUUAGGAGCUAAUGACGGUACCUGAAGAAUAAGCACCGGCUAACUACGUGCCAGCAGCCGCGGUAAUACGUAGGGUGCAAGCGUUAAUCGGAAUUACUGGGCGUAAAGCGUGCGCAGGCGGCUUUGCAAGACAGAUGUGAAAUCCCCGGGCUCAACCUGGGAACUGCAUUUGUGACUGCAUGGCUAGAGUACGGUAGAGGGGGGAUGGAAUUCCGCGUGUAGCAGUGAAAUGCGUAGAUAUGCGGAGGAACACCGAUGGCGAAGGCAAUCCCCUGGACCUGUACUGACGCUCAUGCACGAAAGCGUGGGGAGCAAACAGGAUUAGAUACCCUGGUAGUCCACGCCCUAAACGAUGUCAACUGGUUGUUGGACGGCUUGCUGUUCAGUACGAAGCUAACGCGUGAAGUUGACCGCCUGGGGGAGGUACGGUCGCGAGAAGUUAAACGUACGAAAGAAGUUAGUACGGACGUGAGACGUACGACCGACGGACGACGACGAGGGGAGGAGG